GGAUUGGGCUAUUAUGGCUGGCUGAUGGCCCUGGGAGUGGGCUGUUAUUAUGGCUGGCUGAGGGCCCUGGGAGUGGGCUGUUAUUGUGGCUGGCUGAGGGCCCUGGGAGUGGGCUGUUAUUAUGGCUGGCUGAGGGCCCUGGGAGUGGGCUGUUAUUAUGGCUGGCUGAGGCCCCUGGGAGUGGGCUGUUAUUGUGGCUGGCUGAGGCCCCUGGGAGUGGGCUGUUAUUGUGGCUGGCUGAGGCCCC